GAUGAAGAAGCAGUGAAAUGCGAUACUUGGUGUGAAUUGCAGAAUCCCGUGAACCAUCGAGUCUUUGAACGCAAGUUGCGCCCGAAGCCAUUAGGCCGAGGGCACGCCUGCCUGGGCGUCACACGUCGUUGCCCCCCCAUCUACUCCUUCGGGAUUGCGGGGGGCGGAUGAUGGCCUCCCGUGCGCCUCGUCGCGCGGUUGGCAUAAAUGCCAAGUCCUCGGCGACGCACGCCACGACAAUCGGUGGUUGCGAAACCUCGGUUGCCCGUCGUGUGCGGUCGUCGCGCAUCGAGGGCUCGAAAAAAUUGUCGGGCUCCGGCUCGGCUUUCAACGCGACCCCAGGUCAGGCGGGGUUACCCGCUGAAUUUAAGCAUAUCAAUAAGCGGAGGA
rnacentral:misc_RNA from 1 species